rfam:Streptomyces caelestis strain NRRL B-24567 P188contig79.1, whole genome shotgun sequence.
CUUCAGCGAGCCGAGCCACAACGGACGCUCCGCGGGCCGGUCCUGGCCGUAGACGGCGAGCAGUGCCUGGGCCUC